GACAGGGCUAGCAAAUGACCUAAAGCUUAGCAGGGCUAGAGAAUGACCUGAAAGAUCCUCAGGGCUGGUUGGCACUAGAGAAAGCUAAAAAACUCGUCAAGGCAUUACUGUACCACUCGAAUCAAAUUUUGCCAGACAAGAUUCACUCGAAUCAACUUUUGCCAGACAUGAUCUUGGACCUGACUGGUCGGCAGAGUAAGUAAGAGGAAAGUAAGGACAUCGUGCGCUUAGCCCGGAUAGAAGCUAACCUGGUUUGACAGACUAAACAAAGGCCGCACAGUUCCACUUGGGACAAUCAGUAUGAUGUACACUCUAGGACUGUGACGCAUUUCACGACUAAACUACUAGGAAAGGUUAAGCGAUGCUAGGAUGAAAGGUCAAUCUAAAUAAGCCACGUGCCCCAGAUUAUGAAGACAACUGUCACCUUUAAAUCUAAAGAAUCGAAGACUAGCGGGGGAACCUCUAGUGUUACACAAUACUCGGCCAAAAUGAGCCAUGAGCUGUCACCAUAAGACAGGGUCAUGUGACAAGUGUUUGACAAGCCGACACGUUGUCCAGCCCGAGGCAAGGAAGACUCGAACACCAAGUAACCCGACUCUUCACCUAAAUAGGGCAGGUCUUCACAUAAAGUUAUCAUUAGUAGGUAUAAUCUAAUAGGCUCUUGUUACGCCUAUAAUCACAGGAUCACCGACC
rnacentral:lncRNA from 1 species